rnacentral:rRNA from 1 species
CCUACGGGAGGCUGCAGUGGGGAAUAUUGCACAAUGGGGGAAACCCUGAUGCAGCGACGCCGCGUGAGUGAAGAAGUAUUUCGGUAUGUAAAGCUCUAUCAGCAGGGAAGAAAAUGACGGUACCUGUUUAAGAAGCCCCGGCUAACUACGUGCCAGCAGCCGCGGUAAUACGUAGGGGGCAAGCGUUAUCCGGAUUUACUGGGUGUAAAGGGAGCGUAGACGGCAGCACAAGUCUGGAGUGAAAUGCCGGGGCUUAACCCCGGAACUGCUUUGGAAACUGUGCGGCUAGAGUGCAGGAGAGGUAAGUGGAAUUCCUGGUGUAGCGGUGAAAUGCGUAGAUAUUAGGAGGAACACCAGUGGCGAAGGCGGCUUACUGGACUGUAACUGACGUUGAGGCUCGAAAGCGUGGGGAGCAAACAGGAUUAGAUACCCUAGUAGUC